UGAUUCUCAACUCUCCGAGCCACGCCGCCUAAAGGGUAGUUUUCCCAUGGCGACCGGCUAGGGUGCCGCUGGAAACGGCUGUGCCUCCCUUUUGGAAAGGAGAGCCUCAAAGUACCGG
rfam:Geobacter sp. FRC-32, complete genome.